UGGCCCUAGGCCCGAGUUGUAAUUUGCAGAGGAUGCUUUUGGUGCGGUGCCUUCCAAGUUCCCUAGAACGGGACGCCAGAGAGGGUGAGAGCCCCGUACAGUUGGACACCAAGCCUUUGUAAAGCUCCUUCGACGAGUCGAGUAGUUUGGGAAUGCUGCUCAAAAUGGGAGGUAUAUUUCUUCUAAAGCUAAAUACCGGCCAGAGACCGAUAGCGCACAAGUAGAGUGAUCGAAAGAUGAAAAGCACUUUGAAAAGAGGGUUAAACAGCACGUGAAAUUGUUAAAAGGGAAGCGCUUGUGACCAGACUUGCGUCCGGUGAAUCACCCAGCUCUCGCGGCUGGGGCACUUCGCCGGCUCAGGCCAGCAUCAGCUCGCUGUCGGGGACAAAAGCUUCAGGAACGUAGCUCUCUUCGGGGAGUGUUAUAGCCUGUUGCAUAAUACCCUUCGGCGGGCUGAGGUACGCGCUCCGCAAGGAUGCUGGCAUAAUGGUCAUCAGCGACCCGUCUUGAAACACGGACCAAGGAGUCAACCUUAUGUGCGAGUGUUCGGGUGUCAAACCCCCUACGCGUAAUGAAAGUGAACGCAGGUGAGAGCUUCGGCGCAUCAUCGACCGAUCCUGAUGUUCUCGGAUGGAUUUGAGUAAGAGCAUAUAGGGUUGGACCCGAAAGAAGGUGAACUAUGCGUGUAUAGGGUGAAGCCAGAGGAAACUCUGGUGGAGGCUCGCAGCGGUUCUGACGUGCAAAUCGAUCGUCAAAUAUGCGCAUGGGGGCGAAAGACUAAUCGAACCUUCUAGUAGCUGGUUUCCGCCGAAGUUUCCCUCAGGAUAGCAGUGUUGAACUCAGUUUUAUGAGGUAAAGCGAAUGAUUAGGGACUCGGGGGCGCUAUAUUGCCUUCAUCCAUUCUCAAACUUUAAAUAUGUAAGAAGCCCUUGUUACUUAAUUGAACGUGGGCAUUCGAAUGUAUCAACACUAGUGGGCCAUUUUUGGUAAGCAGAACUGGCGAUGCGGGAUGAACCGAACGCGAGGUUAAGGUGCCAGAGUAGACGCUCAUCAGACACCACAAAAGGUGUUAGUACAUCUUGACAGCAGGACGGUGGCCAUGGAAGUCGGAAUCCGCUAAGGACUGUGUAACAACUCACCUGCCGAAUGUACUAGCCCUGAAAAUGGAUGGCGCUCAAGCGUCUCACCCAUACCUCGCCCUCAGUGUAGAAACGAUGCGCUGAGGAGUAGGCGGACG
rnacentral:rRNA from 1 species